CCAUGAAUCCAGGCAGUGACGCAGAGCACAGACCUGCGAGCGUGCCCAAGCUGGCCUGGGGGAAGGAGGAGAAAGAAGGCCCUGGAGCUGCCCCAGCACAGCAGCCUGAAGAGGUGGAGCAGUUCCAGCCACUGCAGAAGGGUGAGUGGCAGAGCUGGGCCACAGGGCUGGUGCCUGCAGCCAGCUUGGUCCGCAGAACAGCGCAGGUACCUGCAGCCAUCCCCACCUGGGCUGGGCCUGCUGGCACUGCUCAGCCCAGCACUGUGCUCGGAGCACUCCAUGCAACAUCCCGGGCUUCUUGCCCUUCUGCUACAGAUGGUUUGCAAAUUCAUGAAGAGGAUUCGGGAGGAAGAGAGCAGCGUCGUGGGCACUGUGGUCAGAGCGUACUCUCCCAUCUUCAAAACCAAGGCCAGUGCUGCCCUGCUGGAUAUGCUUGUGGAGGAGGGUCCUUCCAGCCCAAAGCAAGUGCCCGCCAUGGUGAGGUACAUCCACCAGUGGCUGGUGGCCAAUGAGUUUCCUGAGUACAAUCUGUACAGGCCCCUUCUGGAUCUGACAGAGGCACAGCCCUCUGACGUGGUGAUGGCUCUCCUGCGUGUGGCCCCAGUGUGUGACAGGUACGGGGCCCACGUGUCCACAAGGCUCAGCAGCCCUUCACCCUGUACAGCCUGUCCCAGGUGUCUGACCAACAGAGAAUUCCAGGGCCCUCUGGCUGCUCCCUUUGCCAGCCCUGGCCCCUGCCAGCCCCCCAGCGUGCUGCCAUGCUUCCCCCCUGCCCCUCAGGGGCCAGUCCCCACAGGGCUGGGCUGCCUGUGUUCUGCCAGUGAGGGGCAGUGGGCAGAGGCAGGGCUGGCAGAGCAGCUCAGCUCCCCGCUGCCACCCAGGCCACGCUGCUGUGUCCCAGACUCCUCUGAGACAGAGCUGUGACCCCACAGAGCUGCUUUGGCCAUGUGGAAGAGCAUCAUGUGCUCGCCCAGGACUGCAGAGCCGGCCAUGCUCGUACUCCUCGAGGUGCUGGGGAGCUGGCCAGAGCACAGCACGUGCACCUCCGAUGGGGACCACACGGCUGUCCUUGCCCUGGCUGUAAGUUUCUGCCUUUGCUGGCCCCAAGGCCACCUCUCCAGCAGCUCUCCAUCCUCC
rnacentral:lncRNA from 1 species